CAGGACGGGACCCCGCCAGGCCUGCGAGGCCAGGCUGAGGAAGCUGAGCCAGUCCAGGACCUGGUAGAGGGGCAGAGCGAACAUAGGGCGGGGCUGAGGGGCAGGGCGGGGGCGGGACGUGGGCGGAGCAGGCUCUGGGAAUCACAAAGGAGGCGGGGCGAGAAACCCGGGUUAAGGAGAGCCCAGCGGUUGCGUCGCGCUGCGAGUAAGAUGCAUGCAAUCUCGAACACACGUCCGGACGUGCACUCGUUACUUUGAGAAGUGAAGAAAGGAGCGAGAUUGGAAUGUCGUUGUCCAUAACUGAACCUAUUCUUGGCGGGGAGAGGGAAAAGUGGGGGUGGGGAUAAAAGAAGUCUUGAGUUGGGAGAAAGGGUUAUCUCCAGAUGUGGAUGAGCAAAUGUCGCCUGCAGGAUUUGGUCUCCAACCUGAGGUCGCCCAAGAAAAUGAGUUUCCUGGGGGUCUUGAUUCCCCAGAAAUCAGAUUCGAGUGAUUAGAACAGAGACCCUCUUCUCACACCAGCGGAGGCCACGUCCUGGGAUGUGAAAUUGAGCUUGGCCAAUGGGAGGUUUUACGGCUUAAAUAACUGCUUUGGUCACAAAAGGGGGUGGGGGAGCAUUUCUAUUAGAAAAUUCUAAUUGUGCCUCAAGCUUGGCUUCCAGGAAGGAAUUGGUUGCUUUCCUCCAUUUGGGAUCGGGAAGUCUCUAGGAUCGAUUUGUUGCUAUGCGACAGGUUUUGAAGGAUGACCGUUUUUUUUGGAAUCAAAUCUGGAUUCGAAUUUCACUAAGUAGCCACAAUAUAUGGAGUAUAAUCCCUAUUUAACUUCUGGGGUUAGGUGCCUUCUUGGGAAUGUGUACUUUGGUAGAUGAUACUGUGCUUCAAAUAACAAAGUAUAUACUACUCUAACAUGUAGAAGAUGCUUUAAAAGCGGUUGUGUCACUGAACCUCCUUGGUCCCACUGGGGAAGCCAGAUCUGGGCAUGUGGCCUGAAGACCUCCUGUGGUAGAACCAGAAGCUCAGACUUAGUUGCCACUGCUGGGAUGGCCUGGGCAGGACAAGCUGUGAGCCUGGGAGAAAGGGAAAGGAUCCUGACUCCCACAGCAUUUGGCAAAGACCUGGGUAAAUAAGGUAAAACUUGUAAGCCACCUCCGCUCUUCAAGAUUCUGAAAUGUGUCUCAGGACCAAGCACAUGAGCUAUUGACUUUUUUAAAAAGUAAGAUUAGGUAUGGAUUUAUUACCUGAUUGCUUGCCAUUGUCAAAAUGCUCAGAACUCUCCCCACCCAUUAGAGGGUUUUUGGGGGUCAGGAAGUACUUCUUUAAUGGUGGCCUUCUAACCACCUAUCUUAUAGAGUCCCUGGGGUGAUGGUUAUAUGAAGCUUCCGGGGCCUCACCCCUAGACCUAAUGAAUCAGAAGGUCUAGGAAUGUAGCCCUGGGAGUUUGCUUUUAAUUACAGCAUCCCAGGUAAUUUUCAU